AUGGAGAUAUAGGCAGUGUAGGAAGCAGCUCAGGGGAGGAGUACUGAGGGAACAAAACUCUCAGCUACUAAAUUGCUGGUCCCUGGAUUGGAACCGGUGUAGAGGUGAGCCCAGGUUCCACUACAAGCCACUGUGGGAGCAGUGUGCUGGGGCAGCCUCUUUGGGGGCUGCUGGGGACAGUCUGGAAGGAGACUUUGAUAAUACCCUGGAAAGGGGGGGACCUUCAGUGUGACUUGGAUGGAAGGCUAAACCAUGAAGAGGCAAGUGCUGCAGCUUUGUGAGCAUGAGAGGGGUCAUGGAGUGAUUGGGACAACAGUCUGAACAACUGCAGGAAGGAGUGUCAGAUUGUGGUAGUGCAUGGUAUCCUUGAAACUUCUGGGGACCCAAUCCAAGAACAGGACUCUCCCACUGUCCAUCUGAAAGGGGACUGCUGAAAGAACCUGAAGGGACAAAAGAACUAACCUGAAAGCAAAGUAGGAGAGAGUCCAGACCGCAACAGGGGUUCAGUCUAAGAAUAAUAACUGGAACUCUGAGCUACAGAAACUCGGCAUCCUGCCUAAAUUCAACAUUUAGCUUUCAAGCAAAGGAAAAUGACAGAAUACAUAAGAGACAGAUGGAAUUAAAACAGAUGGAAAUUGAUGUAAGCCAACUUCUGUCUGGCUGCUUCCACAAGAAAGCCAUGGAACUGAAAGACAAAGAAAUGAAGCAUGACCUGGCCAUAAUGGAGUGGAGGAGACAGAACCCCCACAAGGGUGCUCAACCUCUCCAAAACUCCACAAGUGGGAGCAGUUGUGUCCAGCAUGUAAUAGCCUCUCAAAAGUAAUUAAAAUACUAAACAAUG